rnacentral:lncRNA from 1 species
CUACAUCCUGAAUAUUCAUGUUUUCUCAUCUACAGAUAUUUGUCUUCCCCCAAACUAAAAGAAAAAAAACUACCCUUUACUCUCUUUUCUACUCAGUUACUCUUUUGUGCUAUGUUAGAAACUUGAAAUAUAUUGGUGAUGUGGGGAUUUUGUCCCUGACUGCCCACUGUACAGGACAAGAGAGUACAGUGUUUCAGUUGGAAUUCAGGACUCCUGGUUUUGAGGUAGAGGAUGAUCACUGCAGUACUUGGUUUGGAAUUGCCACAGGGGUAGCUAAACCAAAGGAGGGUUAUAUCUGCAAGGGAGGUGUAAGAAGGCAAAAUAAGGAAAAGGAGGAAUGGGUUUUCUAUUUGUUCAGUUUCAUCAACUAAUUUAUACACUUAAUACAACUUCAGUGUCAAUUGCUAUUAAGAAAUUUUUAGUUGGGCUGAGCUGGUUCUCUUGUGAAAUUGUGCUGGUUAUCUUUAAGCUUAUCAGUUAUUUGUCCAAUUAAACACUUUUCACCAGUAUUUAGUCCGAGUUGUACAGACGAUGUAUUUGGAUUUUGUCAUGGUUCAUCUACAGACUCAAAACAUAAUCAUUUUAAAGUACCUUGGGAGUGUGUAGAGUAACUUCUAUAAUAGCUUUAUGAUCCUGAUGAUGUUUUUUAAACACAAUAAAGUUGGAUCUUCCAUGUUACAAUCACAGAAUUAAAACCAGUAUUUAAAGUGGAAAAGUAUUAAAAUAUUAUGGACAAAUAUGCUGGCUUGAUUUGUUUUCCUUAACCCUGAGAUAUUGCCCUACUCUGAAUAGUUAAGAGCUUGAAAUUCAGUGUUCUUCCCGUAACCCAGUUAGGGAUCAAGAAAACUACUGAGUUGCAGCCUAAAUUUUUUUUUUUUUUUUUUUUUUUGGAGACAGAGUCUUGCUUUGUCACCCAGGCUGGAGUGCAGUGGUGGGAUCUUGGCUCACUGCAACCUCCACUUCCCAGGUUCAAGUGAUUCUUGUGCCUCAGCCUCCUGAGUGGCUGGGAUUACAGGCAUGAGGCACUAUGCCCGGCUAAUUUUUGUAUUUUUAGUAGAGACAGGGUUUCGCCAUGUUGGCCAGGUUGGUCUCAAACUCCUGACCUCAGAUGAUCCACCCACCUGGGCCUCCCAAAGUGCUGGGAUUACAGGCCUCAGCCAUCGCGCCCAGCUCAGUUUUUUUUUUAACAAAAUAUAACAGGAGGAAUAUAUCAAGUACAUGACAUGUAAUAAAUAUUUUGUGUAUCUUUUGUCAUAUGUAUUACACAUACGUGUGUAAUGGGUUACAGUUUACAAUGAAUUUCUUACUGUGGAUCACAUCCAGAAGUUUUAAAAGAUUGGUAGAGAAGCCAUAUUCACUUGGGUGUUUCUAAAAUGGAAGCACAGUGCUGGUGAAUGAUACACACUUAUUUUGUAAUUGAGCUGUAUGCAUUUAAUCAUAAAUAAAUAAUCUCAUUUAUUUAAAUCUCGUUUAAUCUCAGCUCCACUUGUUGCACUCAGGUAAUUUAUGCCCUAGAACAACCAUGAAAUGGGAAGUGUGGACUUCCAUUUCACUCAGUCAGUGGAUUCAUAUUGAAAGGCACUGAGCAUAUUUCUCUCCUAGUGUUCAAAGAUACAUGCCAUCCAAACAAUGUGAUCUGUAAACAAAAGCCAACUACUUAAUCUGGUGGGAUGCUGGAGGGAAAAUCUGACUUGUGUUGAAUUUGAUGACAGAGAAAUAUUAUGUGGUCCUCAUUCCUAGAGGGAUUUUCUAGGGCACUUUUAACUGUGCAGUUUUUCUUUAGACUUGACUUUGGCAUAUAACCUGCAAAUAAGGUGUAGUUCUAACUAGCAGUUUCAAAUGAGGUUGCUUUUAUAGGAUCUUCCAGAUUUUCUUGCCAUUAUUCGAACUUGGUUACAACAGAGUUCAUACUAUCAUUUAUAUUGUCUACCUUUUAAGACACAUUUUCUGUGAACGUUCCACAUCUGUAUACUUUGAAUAGCCUUGCACAAAUACCAUAAGUGAAGCUACUUUAUUUGGCCUCUUCAUUCUCUCUUCCUAUAGAAUUCUGUGAGGUUAGUACUAGAACAAAUCUUUAAGAUCUCUGAAGUUAUUAGAAGAUGCCAAACCAGGAUUUUCCUGUCACCCAGGCUCUGUGGUUGAUGAGGUGGUGUGUGAGGGUAUCUCCGCCGUGUCUGUACCGGCACUAUGCCUUUUCUGACUCCUCCCCACUCAACAGUCCUGUGGAGGUGGUAGCGGUGAUUGGUGGUACCACCCCUGUUUUACAGAUGAGGGAACAGGUUGGGGUUACAAACCUACUGAUUCCCUGACUCUUAAGUUUUUUUUUUUCCCAUUAGACUCUACUUUUUAAUGCCUAUGUGUAAUAUCUAGAAUAUAGUGUUUGAUGGACUAGAAAGAGCUAACAUGCUUGAAGACUAGCAAUUUUGGUGUAUGGGUCUUAGUCCCACACUUCAAUAUUGGCUUCACAAAAUUCCAAAUACACAUGGUUCCUUAACAAUGGUUCGAUUUAUGAUUGUUCGACUUUAUGCAAAGCACUACAAAUACAGUACACUCCAACUUACCAUGGGGCUGCGUUCCGAUAAACCAGUCAUAUAUGGAAAAUACCGUAAGUCAAAAGUACAUUUUCAGCCGGGGGCAGCGGCUCACACCUGUAAUCCCAGCACUUUGGAAGACUGAGGCGGGUGGAUUGCCUGAGGUCAGGAGUUGAAGACCAGCCUGUCUAACAUGGUGAAACCCCUUGUCUCUACUAAAAAUAAAAAAGUUAGCUGGGUGUGGUGGCAUGCACCUGUAAUCCCCAGCUACUCAGGAGGCUGAGUCAGGAGAAUUGCUUGAUCCCGGGAGGUGGAAGUUGCAGUGAGCUGAGAUUACACCACUGCACUCCAGCCUGGGUGAUACAGCAAGACUCUGUCUCCAAAAAAAAAAAAGUUUUCAACUUACGUUAUUUUCAACUUGCAGUGGGCUUAUCAGCACAUAGCCACAUCAUAAAUGGAGGUGCUUCUGUCAAAAGUACAUUAUUGUUUUAUUUUCAACUUACAGUGGGGCUUAUCAGUAUGUAGCCCCAUCAUAAGUCAAGGGGCUUUUAUAACGAUGUGUCUUACAAAAUCCCACCAGAUACAGAAAGGAGGGCAGUAAAGAUGAAAUUUGAUCACAAUUAGGUGCUUAAACUUUCUUCCUGUCCUCCAGCUCAGAGGAUGAAACAGGAAACUGAGUCAUAAAACACUACUACAAACAAGCCCAAGGAUUUUAUCCCAGAUUUUCAACCCAAGGAUGAGCUGCAAUAUAACUAUCACUGUUUUGUUGGCUGCCUGCCACAGAAUGACCACUGAGGAAAUAAAGCGAGCUUUGGAUUCACUGC